rnacentral:rRNA from 1 species
AUUGAACGCUGGCGGCAUGCCUUACACAUGCAAGUCGAACGGCAGCGCGGACUUCGGUCUGGCGGCGAGUGGCGAACGGGUGAGUAAUGCAUCGGAACGUACCUUUCAGUGGGGGAUAACGUAGCGAAAGUUACGCUAAUACCGCAUAUUCUGUGAGCAGGAAAGCAGGGGAUCGCAAGACCUUGCGCUGAUUGAGCGGCCGAUGUCAGAUUAACUAGUUGGUGAGGUAAAGGCUCACCAAGGCGACGAUCUGUAGCGGGUCUGAGAGGAUGAUCCGCCACACUGGGACUGAGACACGGCCCAGACUCCUACGGGAGGCAGCAGUGGGGAAUUUUGGACAAUGGGGGCAACCCUGAUCCAGCCAUGCCGCGUGAGUGAAGAAGGCCUUCGGGUUGUAAAGCUCUUUCGGCCGGGAAGAAAUCGCAUGGGUUAAUACCCUGUGUGGAUGACGGUACCGGAAUAAGAAGCACCGGCUAACUACGUGCCAGCCGCCGCUGUAACAC